UUUGACGACAGCGUGUCGUGCCAGUUUCAAUGCGAGGCCCACGCGAGGGCCUGGCGUUGCAGUGGCCACAGAGUUGUCUUCUCCUUCUCGCAAGUCCUCAACUUCCGGACCUAGGCGAUCUUUAGAGGAAAGGGACGAGAGAAAGUUAGAAGGAAGCGUGGUGAUAUCAAUUCACGACACGAGACAAUUGUAUCAAAAAUCGGAAAAUCAAGGCUUCCUUAAGUACACAUCGUGUGGAUCUAUUAUUUACCAGUUGCGAGAGGCUAACGAAGAAGCCACUGGAUUGGUGGAUUUCACUUGCAGAGCUUUAAACGUCAUUGGUUCUUCCGCACCUUCAUUAGUAUUUCUGGGGUGUUUCUCGAUUCUCCCAGUACUGAUGAUGAUAAUAGG